UGGCGCACGGGUGCGUAACGCGUGACCAACCUACCCGAAUCUGGGGGAUAGCCCGCCGAAAGGCGGAUUAAUACCGCAUAAAACUGCAGCCUGGCAUCAGGUAACAGUUAAAGAUUUAUUGGAUUCGGAUGGGGUUGCGUGCCAUUAGCUAGUUGGCGGGGUAACGGCCCACCAAGGCGACGAUGGCUAGGGGAGCUGAGAGGCUGGUCCCCCACACGGGCACUGAGAUACGGGCCCGACUCCUACGGGAGGCAGCAGUAAGGAAUAUUGGUCAAUGGACGCAAGUCUGAACCAGCCAUGCCGCGUGCAGGAUGACGGCCCUCUGGGUUGUAAACUGCUUUUAUCUGGGACGAAAAACGGACUUUCUAGUUCACUUGACGGUACCAGAGGAAUAAGCACCGGCUAACUCCGUGCCAGCAGCCGCGGUAAUACGGAGGGUGCAAGCGUUAUCCGGAUUUACUGGGUUUAAAGGGUGCGUAGGUGGGCAGGUAAGUCAGUGGUGAAAUCUUCAAGCUUAACUUGGAAACUGCCAUUGAUAC
rnacentral:rRNA from 1 species